CCGAAUAUGUCUGGUUAGAAGAGUUUAAACUUGUCAGAAGAUUACAGCCUUAAUCCUGAGAUGGUAGUUUCUUUCAUUCCUAUUUUCUAGCAGGUGACGGUGGGAUAGGAAUGAUCGAAAUCUGCCAGAGAAGAGCUGGAACUAAUUUAUAAGCAUUCCUAAGUAAGGAGACUGCUCAGCUGAGGAUUUGGUCUCCAGGCUCCUCACCAUCUUUGUUGCCCUCGUCUGGACACAUUUCAAGUGUAUCGCCUUCUCCCUCUUGCUGGCCUUUACAUGCAGCGGAAGGAGGGGUUAGAGCCCCAAGGAAGAUGUGUGGAGGAUACCAUUUCACACUGCAGCUCCAGAAUAACCCGAUCUGUUUGAACUGCACUUGUGCUUCUAAUUUCCUCUGGUGGUGAUCAGAACAUCAAGUCUGCCGUGGGGAGGAUUAGUCCAGCACCAUGACUGUAUCACCCACCUCCCCAUCUUCCUAAUCUGCAUGCAGCCUCAGAGUUUCUCUACAUGAUGGAAAGCCGCAUGGUUCUUAUGUAUGGGAAUUCAGCUGUGUCCUGUUCCCACAAUACCUGUAGGAAGUUUAACUCUUUCUAUUCAGUACUUCUAAAAUUGCAAUGAAUUCCCAUUAGAGGUGAGCAUAGAUGUCCUGAUUCUACCACUCUGAAAAUUCUCUUAAAGAACCUCUAGCAGUCAGAGCUGUUUUUCUAGAAGUGGCCUUUGGCCCGCUAAAUUGGGAGAGGGACUGUUCUUGGUGUCAUCGUGAACUUCUUUUCAACUGCCAAGUAGAGCCCAUUUCAUGACCCUCUCUGUGUCUCUGGCCAGCUUUUUUUUUUACUGGACCACACCCAACAGAUCAAGGACAGAGCUCUCGCACAGCUGUGUCUUGAAGCCAACCCUGCCCCUGUAGCUUUGCUGACUGCAUAGACUGAGGCUGAGGCUGAUGGGAAUUAGAGUCCAACAACAUCCGGAGGGCACCACAUUGCCUGCCCCUGCCACAGGAUAUUCAAGAGGACAGAACAACCUGAAGAGCGUGCAACAUGGCUUUCCUAAGCAGUCUUUGUCUCUCCAUUUCACUAGUGUGCACUAUUUCCACCAUAUGUUUUUAAAACAACCUCCUGAGGUUUUAUUUAUUUAUUUAUGCAGCAAAACAUAUAUACCACUUGAUUGUAAACAGAAAUGUUAAAUAAAAGGCAAAGUAAAAACAGGCAUUUAAAAACAUUCACAAUGCAAUUAAAUCAACAGUUAAGCUAAAAACGCAUGAAAAUACAUGCCAGCUUCUAUAUGUCAGCUUCUCUGUGCCUAAACAAAAGGCGCUGGCCUGUUGUCAAUAGUAAGGGAGUUCCAAAGUGUGGGAGCUGCCACACUAAAACUGUUUCUUGCAAGUCCAGAACUAAUACUAUGUGGAACCUUAGCAGUGCCAGUUCCACAGAUCAAAGUGGUCAAGUGGGCAUAUAUGGGGUAAGGUGAUGAUGUUGGAUGUAGCAGACUGACAUACAUGGACCUGGGCCUGCUGCAAUUCCUCCGUGUUGGCCCAUCUCUUUACAGCCCAGCCCCUGGAGCAACCAUUGCAUGGAGUACACUGAUCUUAUCAUAAUCUUCUCUCCUGUCCUCUUCCCACUCACGAAAUUCCAUAUGCAAGUGGACAAGUCUAGCUAGCUAAACUGGGCAUAGAGGCUCUGCAACAGCAGACCCAGCAUUAGCACCUGACACCCUCAGGCAGCUGCUGGGAUGACCAUACCCCAGCAGGGCCCCCCAGCAUUGAUACCUGCUUUGGGUCCUCUGCACCAGGCAGCUGAAUCUGCAGGCUGAUAUUUGAAAUGUUCCAUACUGCCCCAGACAUUACAUCGCUCUGGGGCAUUAGGGGAACUUAAGGUGAUGGCCCCUAGUGAGGAACACCAUUUUGAUUUCCAAAAUGGGUCCCAUGAUGCUGCUGCCAGCUAAGUUGGGGCUCUCCAAUAUAGGAGGGAGUUACUCAUUGUUGAGGGGCCCCUCAAAUCUGGAGCUGGCCCUAUGCAAAGGUUUGUGUAUUAUCACACAGAAGAGAACGUUUGGAUAUUGUUUAAUUUUCUUCAUAUUAGUCGCUUGCACAAAGCGCUUACUAAAAGCUCCCCUGCAUGCAGGGAUGGAUCUUUGGCCUGAGUAAAAGAAAAGAGAAAAGCUCCAUGUUUAGAUUUUCCUUUCUCAGUUGGCUCCUUCGACUGCUGGUUUUUUUCUUAGGCCAAUCCCUCGCCAUUAGGUGUAUGCAAGGAUCAAGCUCCUUCUUGCUUUCAUUCUUGGGGAGGAGGCUGGGUUCCAAUCACUUUAUUGAGCUAUGAAAAAAGAGAAUUGUGAGCCACUGCUCCACGAUAAUGCACUAAUAAUUUUACAUCAGGAUAUAUGGACAGAGCAGACUACUGAUGCUGGCCACCUCGUGUGUGUUGGUUGUGAUGAAUAAAACCCACUCUAAGAAAAUAAAAGAAGAAGAAUGUUUUUAAUGCUAUCAUCAGAGGCUCCAAGGAGCAGCUAUAAUUUAUUAACCAUUAUCGCAGUGUUGUGCAAUAAUCUUUGUCAUCUUUUGAGCCUAUCAAGCAACUAAUAAUGUAUUAGUAUCUCAAGAUUUUAAGGAAGCAAAAGAAUGAAUAUGUUUGUCCUUAUCCCGGAAUUUGGGUUUAAGUAAAUGAAGAUGGU